GAUGAACGCUAGCGGCAGGCUUAACACAUGCAAGUCGAGGGGUAGAAGGAGCUUGCUCCUUUGAGACCGGCGCACGGGUGCGUAACGCGUAUGCAAUCUACCUUUUGCAGAGGGAUAGCCCAGAGAAAUUUGGAUUAAUACCUCAUAGUAUGUGAGGAUGGCAUCAUUUUCACAUUAAAGUCACAACGGCAAAAGAUGAGCAUGCGUCCCAUUAGCUAGUUGGUAAGGUAACGGCUUACCAAGGCUACGAUGGGUAGGGUCCUGAGAGGGAGAUCCCCCACACUGGUACUGAGACACGGACCAGACUCCUACGGGAGGCAGCAGUGGGGAAUAUUGGACAAUGGGCGCAAGCCUGAUCCAGCCAUGCCGCGUGUGU
rnacentral:rRNA from 1 species